rnacentral:lncRNA from 1 species
CCUCCCCUCCACUCCAAAGAGGACAGGAGCCUCCAAGCCCCCAGGACAUCUUCUGGGCCACACAGGUCGAGAGGAUACCUCGGGAACUACUGGACCUGAAAUGUCAAAUCACCCUGCAGAGGUGUCAACUGAUAUUUCUCCAGCUCGGGUCCUUCGGCAGCUCUACCCACCAUUUGCUCCUUCUCACGUGGGCGCAGAGAGUCAGGAAGUGGCAGACAGAUGCUUCUUCGAGGGGCUGUGCAGCAAAGGCCUCUGGACCUCUCUUCCCCUCAGAAGAGACUAUGACAGCAGCAGAGAACAUGAAAGCUGAAAAAUGGGUCGAAGGAACCAAGGAGAAAACCUAUCCAUUUUACAGAAGGGGAAACUGAGAUUCAGACCCAGUAGCAGACCAGGGUGGAGAAUCUGGGCCUUGGGGCUCUGAUCUAGGGCUGUCCUCUGCUGGGAAUCCCCUAUGCACCCCCAGCUCUCCCUCUGGGCCUCAGGAAACGCAGCAUCAGCCCUGGUCCUCCCUUCCCUGGGGAGCAGAGCCACUUGGUGACCAAAAGGGGUCUCUCCAUACCUCCCACGCCCCUGGCCUCUGCCCAGUCUGCCUCCUCCUCCCCAAUCCCCCCCAGGACAUAGCCUGAAGAAGUGUUUGUACCUAAACAGUAUUUCCAGGGCAACUUGCAUUCCCCAGGGGGUGGGUGGUGAGAGGCUUGGGGGAGGAACUCCUCCAGCUGCCACAGGCCCUGUGACCCGCAGCCCCUCUCGGUUAAUGGGACUUGGGGCCUAAGAGCUGGUCUUACCCUUGAUCUUGGAGAGGGCCUGAGGAUGGAUGCAUGAACCACACGGCUUCCUUCUAUAAUGCAUCCUUCAUGGAUGAAGUGUGUGAGUGGGCGGGGACAGAGCCCAAAAGUUUCCUGAGCCCAACAAGGAACAGCAGCCCCCAGGGUACCCCUUUUCUUCUCCUGCUCCUCAGCGAGGGUGUCAAAGCCGAGAC